UGUUGGCGAUGGUUUACUUUAUUUAAUGACUAAAUGUGGACUAUCAGGACAAUAUUAUGACUGAAAUAGAGAGGAGUGACCAUCACCAAGUGAUCCUGGACUUGGAGCUGGAUGCAGGAACUGAUGAGACUUUGGAUCUCCCCUUUUGGGGAGGUUAACAUUACUUGGUGUCAGAAGCGGGAUCCGAAGACGAACCCCUGAAGAAUUAAUGAUCCCUGGAAUCAUGCACGGUACCCACUUGAUCCCCUUGUGCUCCCCACUUCCAUUUGGUUCGGAGCUGCUCUGUGAAUUUUGGGUUAAAGGAUCUGUGGAACAAGAAUAAACAAACCAGCGCCCGAAGAUUGGACCUACUUCAUUAGCAUGUUGCCUAAAAAGUGAGUUUGGCACAGUGUGGGAAUAGAGGAUGUGGAGAGCCAAACUGCUCUGCAUUACUGGGGGUGAACACACAGUUGGACCGUUCAGGGGCAAUCAGGGAGAGAGGUGGUGCAGAGAGAGAAAUGCGAAGGAAGGGAAGAGGAAUAAUCAGCAAGAAGGCGAAAGGUCCAGAGAUGUACUGAAGGCAGGUGCCUCCUGGAAUUUUCAAGAAGGGUGCUGUGUGAUACAUGCUUUAAAUUUGCUUGUUUGCAGUGCAGCAGUAAAAUCCUCCACUUAUGACCUUCAGUAAAAAAAACACAAGAGCUUGAAAUGAAGGUGGGACUGGGUUGGGGAUAAUCUAGGAGGAAAAAAAAAGCUAAGAAGUAGAGAACAGACAUUCAGUAUAAUUUGAAAUAGAAAUAAGCAUAGAACAUAAGUUCCCCCAGGAACAUGAAGAGGUCCUGGGCAGGCAUUCCAGAGUGUACAGAACAGGAGGUUGAACCAAUUUUAUGGACCUUAAGGGACAGGGUGACCUAAGAUAAUAUGCGGAUAAGGAACAUAAAAGACUUGGGGAAAACAACAAAAUAAGUUCUUAGCAUGAUCUGAGGAGUCAGGACAAAUAUCUAAAUAAUUCAA